GAAAGGGUGCUAUCCCUCUGUCAGAUUGAAGCAGUGUGGCGUGCAGAAGAUCUAUACCAAUAUAUUAAAUUGGAGUUGGUGGUGAUGGUACGGUCGCCGCCGUAGGUUGGUACGGUUGCCGUCGUAGGUUAAUUUCGUUAAAAUUACAACUAAUAUGCCACUGCCUGUUAUUUUUUUUCCUUCAGUUUUUUUCAUGAUUUCUCCUACUCCGUCUUACAAUACAACCGACGCCACCACACCCGCAUGCCGACCUCGACGGCGCCAUGAGUUGCCUACACAAAAAAUAAAAAUAAAUAGUUUGUGAUUUUGUUGACCCGUAGCAACGCGCGGGCACACCUUCUAGUAUGAAGUAGUUUAGGUUACAAAUUUAGUACUCCGUAUCACUGAAGGUAGGAUGUGUGAUAAAUUGUUUUUUUCCUCUGUAAACGGAUGCUGCUCAUCAAAGAUUGCUCAAUCAUAUAUCGUG
rnacentral:lncRNA from 1 species